rnacentral:rRNA from 1 species
UACAGAGGGUGCAAGCGUUGUUCGGAAUUAUUGGGCGUAAAGAGCUCGUAGGCGGCCUGUUGCGUCCGCUGUGAAAGCCCGGGGCUUAACCCCGGGUCUGCAGUGGAUACGGGCAGGCUAGAGGUAGGUAGGGGAGAGUGGAAUUCCCGGAUGGUAGCGGUGAAAUGCGCAGAUAUCGGGAGGAACACCGGUGGCGAAGGCGGUUCUCUGGGCCUUACCUGACGCUGAGGAGCGAAAGCGUGGGGAGCGAACAGG